GUCGGCGCCAGAAAAGUGGCGGCUCUUUGUGUACGGCCUAGUUGAGGUCUGCUGUGUGAUUUUACGGGAUGGUAUG